rnacentral:rRNA from 1 species
UGGACCUACGGGGGGCAGCAGUGGGGAAUAUUGCACAAUGGGGGGAACCCUGAUGCAGCGACGCCGCGUGAGUGAAGAAGUAUUUCGGUAUGUAAAGCUCUGUCAGCAGGGAAGAAGAAAGACGGUACCUGACCAAGAAGCCCCGGCUAACUACGUGCCAGCAGCCGCGGUAAUACGUAUGGGGCAAGCGUUAUCCGGAUUUACUGGGUGUAAAGGGAGCGCAGGCGGCUUGGCAAGUCUGAUGUGAAAGGCUGGGGCUCAGCCCCAGGACUGCAUUGGAAACUGUUAGGCUGGAGUGUCGGAGG